GUCGUUGUAGUAUAGUGGAGAGUACUCUCGCCUGUAACGCGAGUGACCCGGGUUCGAUCCUUGGCAACGACG